rnacentral:lncRNA from 1 species
GAGAGGCCAGGUCUGGAAAUUUUAAUUAGUCCAGAGAGAAUCUACCUUGAGAAAGCACAAAAAUUUAAGAAACAGGAUAUUGCUAGCAGCAAAUUUUUUCCAUUUAACUUGGACCCCCUGACUUUCUUGUUCUGUGUCACUUAAAGCACCAGUUCUUUAGCUGUUCCAGAAAUUUGGGUCAGACAUGGAUAGAGAAAAGGCUAGAGGAAGUAUGUAAGACAGCAAUGAAAAUAAUAAUUUUGAACUGCCUGCAUCAUUAUAACCUACUUAUGUUGUUCUUUUACAUAGAAUGAAAUGAUCAGGGCCAGCUGUCCAUGAAUGAAUUGAGCCUCAAGAUCAUGAUGCUUGUUGCUAUAAUUGUAAGAGUUAUAAGUGAUUUGCAAGCAAUUAGGCCCCCCCCCCUUUUUUUUUUUUUGGUGGUGCUAGGGAUCACACCCAGGGCCUUGUGCAUGUGAGGCAAGCACUCUACCAACUGAGCUAUAUCCCUAGCUAUAUCCCUAUCCCUCCCUUUUAAAAACCUGAGUAGAUGUCUCCAUGUUCAUUGUGAAAAAGGACAAGCUCAAGGGCAUAAAGGGAUUUCUACCUUUUUGUCUUUCCCCAAUAUCUCUAAAUGCUAGUGGACAAAUAGUCUGAAUGCCACAGACAUUUGUGCCUGAGGAAAAGAACAAAAAAUAUGAAGUAUCUGGUCUUGUCCCAGUUGCUUCUUAUUCACUCUUUGUCUUAAUUCCUUUUUUAGGCAUGACAUUGGUCUUUUUGCAACUCUUGUCAGAAUGAGGGGGCGAAGAAGCCCAGCAAGGUGUUGCAUCCUGUAAUCCCAGCAAUUUAGGAGCACGAGGCAGGAGGAUCACAAGUUACAGGGCAUCCUCAGCAAUUCAGUGAGACCCUCUCUCUCAAAAAAGAAAGGGCUAGGGAUUUAGCUCAGUGGUGGAGCACCCCUGAGUUAAACCCUCAGUAUUCCCUCCGCCAAAAACAGGAACAGGACGAAUGUGGUAUGUGUAUUUGGAACUAAUUCAGGCUUUUGUUUUUGGUGCUAUGGUGAUUUCAAUACCCUGAAAAGCCCUUUAGCAGAAGCAACUAAAUGCUUGGUAAAUAGAUUUGUAAAAAAUACCUUUAAACACAUUGCUGAGUGGGCACAAAAGUAAGAAACCCAGUUUUCAGAACAAAGCCAAAGCUGGUAUCCUAAGAAAUAACUACUAAAACCAGUUUUUACUUAGAGUUGUUGCCAAACUCAACAAGACUUCAGCUUCUACAGAAUAUGGGAAAGCAGGUUCCCACAUAAAGCUGGACAUCCUCCUCAAUAUAAAGGUUAGAAACAGACUCGAUAGAAUGGGAUAGCAAAGAUUAUUUGUCUUAACUUUGUAGUGAGAUAGAAGAAAAAAAUACAUGGAGUAUCUUCCUUGACAAUUCCUAACUAUAAUGUUCCUCUUUGGGUUUUUAGUUCAAAAAAUUUAGGCUACCUUUGUGGUCCAGAAACUUCUAAGUGGAAAAUUUAAAGUGGUAACAGUUGGCCAGCCUCCAGGUGAUUUCCAGAAGCCAGUGCAACUCCUUUAAGGGCUCCAAAGCAAUCUCCAUAGAUAGACUUAUAAGGAAAAUGAGCAACCUUGCUAAAAAAUUCCAAAAUAUACAAUGGAAUAAGGCAAUAUGAAUGAAAAUGAGGACAUAGAAGCUAAUCCUUAAAUAGUUCACAUAUUGGCACUGUCACAGACCAUAACAAAAUACCUUGAUUAAUGAGCUAAAACAGGUUUGGAAGAUUUAAAAGUUCAGCAGAUGAUGGGGGUGGAGAGGAUGAGAUAAAAAUGAAAAUUGAAAUAAAGAUAGAUGGAUUAAACAGAUGAGACAAAUUGAAGGUGUAUUAGUGAAUUGGAAGUUUUCAAAAAAUUGUCCAGAAUGCACCCCAGAUAAGGAGAAAGACAAGAAGAAUAGAAAAUAUGAAUUUGAGGAAUGGAUGAUAGAGUGAUAAGAUCUAAUGUACAAUAUUUGGAGCUUCAGGAGGAGAUAACAUUCAAAGCGAUAAUGGCUCAUAAAUUUUUCAGAUUUGAUGAAAGUCACCAAACCUCAAAUUGGGGAAGGCCAGUGAAUCUCAAGCAAGAUAAAAAAGCAACUCAUCUAGAGGCAUCAAGGUAAGAUGCAGAAAAGUUAGAGUUCAGGCAGCUGGAGAGAGUAAUACAGGCUAUCUGUAGAAAACAGCUGAGGUGGAUAACUUCAACAACAUUGUAAGUCAGAAAACACUGCAGUAGUGUCUCCAUUCAUGUUAAGAAAAAAAAAAAUUAGCAAAACUGCCUAUUGCAGGGCUAUUAAAAACAUUUAAGACAAUCACUUUCCACUCACAAAAGAGGAGGAAGGAAAAUGAUCUCCAAUGGUGAAUGAGUGCAAGAAGGUACACUGAACAAAGAUAGGUAAAUAUUAGUAAAAGUAAGUCUUAACCUUAAAAACAUAAGGUUAUUGCUUGCAUAAAAGCAGUGUGUAAUUUGUUACAUAUUACUGGACAACAGUGAUGUGCAAGUUGAAAGGGUGAUGAGAACUCCCUUUUAGUUUCUUAUAUUCAGGAGGAAAGUAAAGAAACUGAUCAAGACUUUUUUUGGUAGUCCUAGGGAUUAAACCCACUGAUCAAGACUUUUGUGAAACUAAUGUACAUAUUAGUUAUAAUAACCACUAAAAAAACAGACAUAGAGCAUGUAACUUCUAAAGAAGUAGAGAGAGAAGAAGGCAUAGGGAAGGUAGGGAGAAUUGGAACUGGUGAUUUAUCCAGUAGAACAAGCUGAGCUCCCAGGGCUGUGGUCACAGGUGGUGGUGAAGUAUCUACUUCUGAAUCACUGUGCUGGGGUUAACUUGUAGCAAGUGAAGGAGAUGCAUCCAGAAAGGAACAGUGAAGAAAGAGCAAAAAUAGACAUAAGCAGGCCCAAGACAGUUUCCAUAAAGGAAAAGUUUAUAAUUUAAAUAAAAGUUUGUUGGCUGCUGUGUGAGUUGGUCAGCCUGGCUUAAAGACAGAAGAGCAGGACAGAAUACUUUUACACCUUGCUGACUCAUAAAUCACAAUCAUUGAGUGCAAAGUCUGAGUAACCUCCCUCAUUCUAAUAGGGCUUUAUCCAAAGUAGGGCUAGCCAAAGCUGGAGAUUGCCCUUUGAUGUGAUGGACCUAUGCCUUAUUUUAGAGACUGCUGGCUUUAGAAGGGGUCAGAGGUAUCAUUGGAUUGUUCAAGCUCAUCUCUGCAUCAUUAGUCAUUUCCUCUACUCCAAGAAGAGCUUUCUCAGGAACAUUAAUUGAAAUUUUGGAUUAUUGCUGGUACAUCACCAUGCAAUAUAUUUGCAAUAGAUAUUUCUCUAUGAUUCACUUAAAGCAUAUUUACAAUGCAAAGCAUAGAUUUUAUAUGUGAUCAAGAUAUGCUACCUAAUACCUUAUUCAAAAGCCUAAUGCUUUCAUUCUUUCUUUUCUCUUUAUUGGAGUUAGUGUCUCUGAAACCUAGGUCCAGAUAUUUUGAGAUGAUUCAGAAUGUUAAUGUAUAUAAAACUACUCAGUACUAAGCUCAGGGUAUGGAACCAGACUGGCUGAAUUCAAGUUCUUAUUCUGGUACUUAAAACUUUGGCAGGUUUCUUAAGCUUUUAGUGCUUCUUAUCAUGGGACUAAUUCCUACACAUUGUAAAGAUCAAAUGAGAUAAUUAAUGUAAUUGUACUUAAAAUAGUACCUGGCACAUACUAAGUAUAUUAUUUAUUAUUAUUGUAUUUAUCAGGUACUUUUCUCUUUUGUAUGUACAUAAUUUAUUUUGUCUAACUACUUCAGGGAUGAUUUCCGGGCUACCAAAAAUAACAAGCAACUAGUGUACAUGUCCAACCCCUGGAUUAGGGAAAGGAGCUUUAGUUAUUUGAUGGGUACUUUGACCUCUUUGGUCCAGGCCCUGUUCUAGAUGCUGACCUUUCAGAGUGAUCGUUGCAGAAAUUAAAGUUAAGGAAGGCCUUAGAGACUGCUAGUGGCACCCCAGGGUGGAAGCGUCUGUUAAGUCUGGUGAUCACAUAGGCUUUUCUGAACAGGAUGAGAAAAGACUUCCUCACAAGAUAACAAGGAUUUUCUGAAUGUCGGAAUUCUUUUUUUUUUUUUUUUUUGUGAAUGUCGGAAUUCUUGGGAGAUAAAAAACAUAAUCUUCAUGGCAAAGCCCAUGAGAGAGAAGAAAAGAUUUAGAGGAAUGAAAGAAGAAAUAUAUUUAUUUAUAUAUAUAUAAACAUUUGUUAAGUACCUAGUUAUAUGAUAGGCUCUAUACUAGUAAGCAAUGUUGUAGUGACCACAAAGCCUUAUUCUCAAGGAGCUUGUAGUAAAUUUCCCUGAGUGCAG